rnacentral:rRNA from 1 species
AAUCAACGCUGGCGGCGUGCCUCAGACAUGCAAGUCGAACGAUUAAAGCUCUCUUCGGAGAGUGUAUAGAGUGGCGCACGGGUGAGUAACACGUAAGUAAUCUACCUUUGAGUGGGGAAUAACGUCCGGAAACGGACGCUAAUACCGCAUAAUGCAGCGGCAUCGCAAGAUGACAGUUGUUAAAGAUUUAUCGCUUGAAGAGGAGCUUGCGGCAGAUAGCUAGUUGGUAAGGUAAUGGCUUACCAAGGCUACGAUCUGUAACCGGUCUAAGAGGACGGUCGGUCACACUGACACUGAAUAACGGGUCAGACCCCUACGGGAGGCAGCAGUCGGGAAUUUGGGCAAUGGGCGAAAGCCUGACCCAGCAACGCCGCGUGGGUGAAGAAGGCCUCGGUUGGUAAGUACCGUUU